UUUCUGUAGAGUUCAAGGCUGAGCUUGACUUUCUUUCUUCAGAAAACACACACACACACACACACACACACACACACACACACACACACACAC